rnacentral:tRNA from 1 species
GACUACUUAUUAUACAAGUAUAUCUGAUUUCCAAUUAGAAGGCCCAUCGACAUGGAGUAGUUG